GACGAACGCUGGCGGCGUGCUUAACACAUGCAAGUCGAACGGUGAACCUCUUCGGAGGGGAUCAGUGGCGAACGGGUGAGUAACACGUGGGCAACCUGCCCCCGGCUCUGGGAUAACCCCAAGAAAUUGGGGCUAAUACCGGAUGUUCACCGCUUCCCGCAUGGGUGGUGGUGGAAAGGGUUUCCGGCUGGGGAUGGGCCCGCGGCCUAUCAGCUUGUUGGUGGGGUAGUGGCCUACCAAGGCGACGACGGGUAGCCGGCCUGAGAGGGUGACCGGCCACACUGGGACUGAGACACGGCCCAGACUCCUACGGGAGGCAGCAGUGGGGAAUAUUGCGCAAUGGGCGGAAGCCUGGCGCAGCGACGCCGCGUGGGGGAUGACGGCCUUCGGGUUGUAAACCUCUUUCAGCAGGGACGAAGCGCAAGUGACGGUACCUGCAGAAGAAGCACCGGCCAACUACGUG
rnacentral:rRNA from 1 species